UACGGAGGGUGCAAGCGUUGUUCGGAUUUACUGGGCGUAAAGCGCGCGCAGGUGGGUGUGCAAGUCGGAAGUGAAAUCUCGAGGCUCAACCUCGAGGCUGCUCCCGAAACUGCUCGCCUAGGGACUGGUAGAGGCUGGUAGAAUUCCCGGUGUAGCGGUGGAAUGCGUAGAGAUCGGGAGGAACACCAGUGGCGAAGGCGAUCACCUGGGGGUUGUUCUGACGCUGAGGAGCGAAAGCUAGGGGAGCAAACGGG
rnacentral:rRNA from 1 species